UACGAAGGGGGCUAGCGCUGCUCGGAAUCACUGGGCGUAAAGCGCACGUAGGCGGCUUUUAAGUCAGGGGUGAAAUCCUGGAGCUCAACUCCAGAACUGCCUUUGAUACUGAGAAGCUUGAGUCCGGGAGAGGUGAGUGGAACUGCGAGUGUAGAGGUGAAAUUCGUAGAUAUUCGCAAGAACACCAGUGGCGAAGGCGGCUCACUGGCCCGAUACUGACGCUGAGGCACGAAAGCGUGGGAGCAAACAGG
rnacentral:rRNA from 1 species